CUCCCUCUUGUGUUGUUGAGGUGCGGUGCGACUUGCGAUUGCGAGUGAGCGGCAUAUACCCUACGAAUCGAAUCGAAUUCCAAGCCCACCGCCGGCGAUGGCCAUCGCCGGCCUGCUACUCCGACCUCCUCCGUGCGUCGCCACGUGCACUCCUCCUUCCCCUUCCCUUUCCUCACAGUGGAGGAGGCGGAGGCUCACCCUCGCCCAGCCCUACUGCGCGGUCGGUCUAUCCUUCGUCUCCGGCCGCCAUCUCCGCCGCCGCCGUCGUACGGGCACUCUCCUACUACUACACCACAACCAACAAACGAUUCAUUGAUUGAUUGAUUGUAUGAUACUAAGCGAGCCUUCCUGAGUUUAUUGUUUGGAUUCAUUUCUUCCCUUCAUUCAUUGCGACUCAUAGUAUCUAGUUGCCUUUUAAUUGCACUCCUUCUUUGUGUUAUUAUCCGUCAAAAGUAUUCAUCAUAUCUUAGAUGAAAAUACCCGUAAUAGCAACUCUUGUCACAAGCUCUAUACAGUGCACAAAUUGGGCGGCAUUCAACAUUUUGUCAUUGUUCGGCAAAAUGCCCACCAUAUGCUCGGCAAAAUGCCUGGGAUCAUGUCCCUCGCAUCACCUGGCUGCUCGCCAUUCUACACUGUUUAGUUUCAUCUCAAUUCAACUCUACCCACUUCUUCUUUCGUUUCCAUAACUACCAUUCCUACGUGUCUCGGCAGUUCGAUUUCACUAACCUCAUCUACAAAUUUUCUCUUGGACUGGAAUUAGACGUCAACACACUACCAUCUUUGUAUGAAAAACAGGAAAGCUAAAGACUAGGAAAGGAAGAGAUCAGGAUUUCUUACCCAUCUAAUUUGUCUUCGCCGAUAUAACUGCCCAUCUACCUUCCUGCUUUACAUAGCUGGAUGAAGGAUAUUCCCUUUACUAUAUUUACUAUGCCUGUAUUCAUAUCGUGCUGUUCCAUAAUUCUUUGCCAAAUUAGGCAUCUCACUGCGUUUGUGUUUCUUUGACUUCUUCAAUGUAGAGAGCAAAAGAACAAGUCGUGGAACUGGUGUUUACGCUUCUUUAUUUGGAGUUGGAGCUCCCGAAGCUCUGGUUAUUGGAGUGGUUGCUCUGUUAGUCUUUGGUCUCAAAGGACUAGCAGAGGCUCGGAUGAUAAGCCUGAGGCUGCACCUUACACCAGCGAAGAACUCAUGAAAGUAAUUGAAGAACAACUAGCUGCAUCUGCAGCUGCUGCUUGGAAUACUCAAGAACCUCCUCCAUCACAGCAAAAAGAAGCAGCAGCUACUUCUGAAAGUAAUGACGGUGCUAUAUCAAGAGGGAGUGAUGGUGCUGGUGCUGCAAUGAGUGAGCCCAAUCGGAACAUUUCUGAGAAGACGGAAACCGAGAGAUGAAGCAUAACGAUGUACUACUGUAUUAAGACCGACGCAAGAACACGCUGUGGAGGUUGGAAAGAGCGGAUUAUGAUUUUUAAUUUGGGGAGCUAGGUAUGCCUGGGUUUGGGUAGGGAGUGAUUUGAGAAGUCUGAUCAGGUGUGAUGCAUAUGUGUUGCUUUGCUGUGUACUAGUACUAGAUCGAUUGUAGAAUGGACGGACAGACUGACAGGUGAUCGUCCCUCCCUUCCUCCGACCUCUAGUUUUGCUAUGGAUGAUGUUAGACCCUGUUUAUAUGUGAGUAAAAGUUUUAAGUUACUGUCACAUCGGA